rnacentral:rRNA from 1 species
GACGAACGCUGGCGGCGUGCCUAAUACAUGCAAGUCGAACGAACCGCGACUAAGUGCUUGCACUAAGUCAAGGUGAGUGGCGAACGGGUGAGUAACACGUGGGUAACCUACCUCAUAGUGGGGGAUAACAGUCGGAAACGACUGCUAAUACCGCAUAGGACAUAGGAUCACAUGAUUCAGUGAGGAAAGGUGGCGCAAGCUAUCGCUAAGAGAUGGACCCGCGGUGCAUUAGCUAGUUGGUAGGGUAACGGCCUACCAAGGCGAUGAUGCAUAGCCGACCUGAGAGGGUGAUCGGCCACAUUGGGACUGAGACACGGCCCAAACUCCUACGGGAGGCAGCAGUAGGGAAUCUUCCGCAAUGGACGCAAGUCUGACGGAGCAACGCCGCGUGAGUGAAGAAGGUCUUCGGAU